rnacentral:rRNA from 1 species
GACGAACGCUGGCGGCGUGCUUAACACAUGCAAGUCGGACGGGAAGUCCCUGCUUUUGUGGCGUACGCGAGUGUCGAGCGGAUGAAUAACACGUGGGUAAGCUGCCCAUAACUGGGGGAUAUCGUCAAUAAACUGUGGCUAGUACCGGAUAGGAACGCCUGCUGCAGGGUGGGGGUUUGAGAGUGUCGGAGUUUGGGGAUGGACUCUCGGCUUAUCAGGUGAUUGGUGGGGUAGUGUCUUACCAAGGCUUUGACGGGCAGCCGGCCUGCGAGGGUGACCGGCCACAUUGGGGCUGAGGUACGGCCCAGACUACUCCGGGAGGAAGCAGUGGGGAAUAUUGCACCACGGGCGGAAGCAUGAUGCAGCAACGCUGCGUGCGGGAUGAAGGACUUCGGGUUGUCAUGCGCUUUCGUCCGUGAAGAAGAGUGAGUGACGGUAACGGGUAAAGAAGCACCGGCUAACUCCGUG